CCACACGACUCUCGGCAACGGAUAUCUCGGCUCUCGCAUCGAUGAAGAACGUAGCGAAAUGCGAUACYUGGUGUGAAUUGCAGAAUCCCGCGAACCAUCGAGUCUUUGAACGCAAGUUGCGCCCGAGGCCACCCGGCUAAGGGCACGCCUGCCUGGGCGUCACGC
rnacentral:rRNA from 5 species